AUCAAAAACAUGGUUUUAAGAAAUAGAUUUAAGAUUGGAUCUGCUCUAUGAAAAAUUUAAAUGGCUGCAGGAUUUUCUCCUGUACUAAGGUAGCUUAAUAAAUUGUUUAUUAAUUGUAAACUAGAAUGAAUGAUUUGAUAAAAUAUUAACUGUUUCAGAAUAAUUUUAAUAAAAUUUAAUUUUUAAGUAAGAAAGCUUAAAUUUAAUUAAGGGACGAGAAGACCCUAUAGAUUUUUAUAAAUAAGUUAAAGAAAAUAUUUAAUUAUUAUUUUUUUUUAAUUAGUCUAUUUUAGUGGGGAAUUAACAAAAUUAAGUUAUUUUUGUGAUUAUUAACAAUUUUUAUUGGUUAGAAGAAUAAAUUAUUAUUUAAGAUAAAAAUACCUUAGGGAUAACAGCAUAAUAUUUUUAUAAAGAUCAAAUUUUUAAAAGUGAUUGUGACCUCUAUAUUG
rnacentral:rRNA from 1 species